rnacentral:rRNA from 1 species
GACGAACGCUGGCGGCGUGCCUAAUACAUGCAAGUUGAGCGCUGAAGGUUGGUACUUGUACCAACUGGGUGAGCAGCGAACGGGUGAGUAACGCGUGGGGAAUCUGCCUUUGAGCGGGGGACAACAUUUGGAAACGAAUGCUAAUACCGCAUAAAAACUUUAAACACAAGUUUUAAGUUUGAAAGAUGCAAUUGCAUCACUCAAAGAUGAUCCCGCGUUGUAUUAGCUAGUUGGUGAGGUAAAGGCUCACCAAGGCGAUGAUACAUAGCCGACCUGAGAGGGUGGUCGGCCACAUUGGGACUGAGACACGGCCCAAACGCCUACGGGAGGCAGCAGUAGGGAAUCGUCGGCAAUGGACGGAAGUCUGACCGAGCAACGCCGCGUGAGUGAAGAAGGUUGUCGGAUCGUAAAACUCGGUUGGUAGAGAAGAACGUUGGUGAGAGUGGAAAGCUCAUCAAGUGACGGUAACUACCCAGAAAGGGACGGCUAACUACGUG